rnacentral:rRNA from 1 species
GAUGAACGCUGGCGGCGUGCUUAACACAUGCAAGUCGAGCGAGAAGUUUUGAAAAGAUUCUUCGGAUGAAAUUUAAAAUGGAAAGCGGCGGACGGGUGAGUAACGCGUAGGCAACCUGCCCCAUACAAAGGGAUAGCAUUUGGAAACGAAUAUUAAUACCUUAUGAAACUUAACUAGUGCAUGCUAGGUAGGUCAAAGAUUUAUCGGUAUGGGAUGGGCCUGCGUCUGAUUAGCUAGUUGGUGAGGUAACGGCUCACCAAGGCGACGAUCAGUAGCCGACCUGAGAGGGUGAACGGCCACAUUGGAACUGAGACACGGUCCAAACUCCUACGGGAGGCAGCAGUGGGGAAUAUUGCACAAUGGGGGAAACCCUGAUGCAGCAACGCCGCGUGAACGAUGAAGGCCUUUGGGUCGUAAAGUUCUGUUCUAGGUGAUGAAAACUGACAGUAACCUAGGAG